AGUGGGGAAUAUUGCACAAUGGAGGAAACUCUGAUGCAGCAACGCCGCGUGGAGGAUGACGCAUUUCGGUGUGUAAACUCCUUUUAUAUAGGAAGAUAAUGACGGUACUAUAUGAAUAAGCACCGGCUAACUCCGUGCCAGCAGCCGCGGUAAUACGGAGGGUGCAAGCGUUACUCGGAAUCACUGGGCGUAAAGCGCAUGCAGGCGGUUUAUUAAGUUGGAAGUGAAAUCCUAUGGCUCAACCAUAGAACUGCUUCCAAAACUGAUAGACUAGAGUCUGGGAGGGGAAGAUGGAAUUAGUAGUGUAGGGGUAAAAUCCGUAGAGAUUACUAGGAAUACCAAAAGCGAAGGCGAUCUUCUGGAACAGUACUGACGCUGAGAUGCGAAAGCGUGGGGAGCAAACAGGAUUAGAUACCCUGGUAGUCCACGCAGUAAACGAUGAAUGUUAGUCGUUGGGACUCUAGUAGUUUCAGUGAUGCAGUUAACACAUUAAACAUUCCGCCUGGGGAGUACGGUCGCAAGAUUAAAACUCAAAGGAAUAGACGGGGACCCGCACAAGUGGUGGAGCAUGUGGUUUAAUUCGAAGAUACGCGAAGAACCUUACCUAGCCUUGACAUACUACAGAAUUUGACAGAGAUGUUGAAGUGCCUUCGGGAGCUGUAAUACAGGUGCUGCACGGCUGUCGUCAGCUCGUGUCGUGAGAUGUUGGGUUAAGUCCCGCAACGAGCGCAACCCUCGUCCUUAGUUACUAACGGUUCGGCCGAGGACUCUAAGGAGACUGCCUUCGUAAGGAGGAGGAAGGUGAGGACGACGUCAAGUCAUCAUGGCCCUUACGGCUAGGGCAACACACGUGCUACAAUGGUUAGGACAAUGAGAAGCGAUACCGCGAGGUGGAGCAAAUCUAUAAACCUAAUCUCAGUUCGGAUAGCAGUCUGCAACUCGACUGCUUGAAGCUGGAAUCACUAGUAAUCGUAAAUCAGCUAUGUUACGGUGAAUACGU
rnacentral:rRNA from 1 species